rnacentral:rRNA from 1 species
UACGUAGGUGACAAGCGUUGUCCGGAUUUACUGGGCGUAAAGAGCGCGCAGGCGGUCGAUCAAGUCGAGUGUGAAAGCCCCCGGCUCAACUGGGGAGGGUCAUUCGAUACUGAUCGACUCGAAGGCAGGAGAGGGUAGUGGAAUUCCCGGUGUAGUGGUGAAAUGCGUAGAUAUCGGGAAGAACACCGGUGGCGAAGGCGGCUCUCUGGGCCUUACCUGACGCUGAGGAGCGAAAGCGUGGGUAGCGGACAGG